CGGGCCCGCACAAGCGGUGGAGUAUGUGGUUUAAUUCGAUGCAACGCGAAGAACCUUACCUGGUCUUGACAUCCCGGAGACCCUUAGGAAACUAGGGGGUGCUUCCAUCUGGAAGGAUCUGGAGGCAGGUGCUGCAUGGCUGUCGUCAGCUCGUGUCGUGAGAUGUUGGGUUAAGUCCCGCAACGAGCGCAACCCUUGCCUUUAGUUGCCAGCAGUUCGGCUGGGCACUCUAAAGGGACUGCCGGUGUUAAACCGGAGGAAGGUGGGGAUGACGUCAAGUCCUCAUGGCCUUUAUGACCAGGGCUACACACGUACUACAAUGGCCGAUACAAAGGGCAGCGACACUGCGAGGUGAAGCCAAUCCCGUAAAAUCGGUCUCAGUCCGGAUUGGAGUCUGCAACUCGACUCCAUGAAGUUGGAAUCGCUAGUAAUCGUGGAUCAGCAUGCCACGGUGAAUACGUUCCCGGGCCUU
rnacentral:rRNA from 1 species